rnacentral:rRNA from 1 species
AUUGAACGCUGGCAGCAGGCCUAACACAUGCAAGUCGAGCGGAUGAAGAGAGCUUGCUCUCUGAUUUAGCGGCGGACGGGUGAGUAAUGCCUAGGAAUCUGCCUGGUAGUGGGGGAUAACGUUCCGAAAGGAACGCUAAUACCGCAUACGUCCUACGGGAGAAAGCAGGGGACCUUCGGGCCUUGCGCUAUCAGAUGAGCCUAGGUCGGAUUAGCUAGUUGGUGAGGUAAUGGCUCACCAAGGCUAUGAUCCGUAACUGGUCUGAGAGGAUGAUCAGUCACACUGGAACUGAGACACGGUCCAGACUCCUACGGGAGGCAGCAGUGGGGAAUAUUGGACAAUGGGCGAAAGCCUGAUCCAGCCAUGCCGCGUGUGUGAAGAAGGUCUUCGGAUUGUAAAGCACUUUAAGUUGGGAGGAAGGGCAGUAAGUUAAUACCUUGCUGUUUUGACGUUACCGACAGAAUAAGCACCGGCUAACUUCGUGCCAGCCGCCGCAGUAAAAC